AGUGAAUAGAUACCCUGGUAGUCCACGCCCUAAACGAUGGAUACUAGGCGUAAGAGGUAUCGACCCCUCUUGUGCCGCAGCUAACGCAUUAAGUAUCCCGCCUGGGGAGUACGGCCGCAAGGUUGAAACUCAAAUGAAUUGACGGGGACCCGCACAAGCGGUGAAGCAUGUGGAUUAAUUCGAUACUAACCGAAGAACCUUACCCAGACUUGACAUCGAUCGCAAGCCUUAGAAAUAGGGCCCUCCCCCACAAGGGGACGUGAAGACACUUGUUGCAUGGCUGUCGUCAGCUCGUGCCGUGAGGUGUACGGUUAAGUCCGCCAACGAGCGCAACCCUCGUCCUGUGUUACCAGCAUGAAAGAUGGGAACUCACAGGAGACCGCCGGUGUAAAUCGGAGGAAGGUGGGGAUGACGUCAAGUCAGCAUGGCAGUUACGUCUGGGGCUUCACACAUGCUACAAUGGGCGAAACAGAGGGCCGCAAUACCGUGAGGUGGAGCAAAUCCCAAAAAUACGCCCCAGUUCAGAUUGCAGUCU
rnacentral:rRNA from 1 species